AUUCCAGCUCCAAUAGUGUAUAUUAAAGUUGUUGCAGUUAAAAAGCUCGUAGUUGGAUUUCUGGCGGGAGCGAUCGGUCCUUCACUCAGUGUUGGAACCUGAUUGUCUCCUGCCAUCCAUGGAGAAAACUUAUCUGGCAUUAAGUUGUCGGGUAGGCAAUCUCCAUCUUUUACUGUGAAAAAAUUAGAGUGUUCAAAGCAGGCUUAUGCCGUUGAAUAUAUUAGCAUGGAAUAAUAAGAUAGGACUAUGGUACUAUUUUGUUGGUUUGUGCACCAUGGUAAUGAUUAAUAGGGACAGUUGGGGGCAUUAGUAUUUAAUUGUCAGAGGUGAAAUUCUCGGAUUUAUGAAAGACUAACUACUGCGAAAGCAUUUGCCAAGGAUGUUUUCAUUG
rnacentral:rRNA from 1 species